rnacentral:lncRNA from 1 species
CAAAUCUGGGAGAGCAUCAGUUACAUCAAUAUUCAUCCUACUCCUACGUGCUGUAGGAGUCAUAGAGCUUGACCUAGAUCUCUUUCUAAUAGAGGAGGACGGACAUGCAUUUGGAAAACACUUGAUGGGUAGUGUCGGAGCAUAGGAAGUUGGGCUGCUGGGGGGUACAUCGGACAUACUCUAUUCAAAAGAUUCAAAAGGACCAGAAGAUGAGACAG